CCUACGGGUGGCAGCAGUGGGGGAUAUUGCACAAUGGGGGAAACCCUGAUGCAGCGACGCCGCGUGGGCGAAGAAGUAUUUCGGUUUGUAAAGCCCUAUCAGUAGGGAGGAAGAAAUGACGGUACCUGAGUAAGAAGCACCGGCUAAAUACGUGCCAGCAGCCGCGGUAAUACGUAGGGUGCAAGCGUUAUCCGGAUGUACUGGGUGUAAAGGGAGCGCAGGCGGCACGGCAAGCCAGAUGUGAAAGCCCGCGGCUCAACCGCGGGACUGCAUUGGGAACUACCGGGCUGGAGUGCCGGAGAGGUAGGCGGAAUUCCUAGUGUAGCGGUGAAAUGCGUAGAUAUGAGGAGGAACACCAGUGGCGAAGGCGGCCCACUGGAAGGUGACUGACGCUGAGGCGCGAAAGCGUGGGGAGCAAACAGGAUUAGAUACCCGUGUAGUC
rnacentral:rRNA from 1 species